rnacentral:rRNA from 1 species
GACGAACGCUGGCGGCGUGCCUAAUACAUGCAAGUAGAACGCACAGUUUAUACCGUAGCUUGCUACACCAUAGACUGUGAGUUGCGAACGGGUGAGUAACGCGUAGGUAACCUGCCUGGUAGCGGGGGAUAACUAUUGGAAACGAUAGUUAAUACCGCAUAAUAUUGAUUAUUGCAUGAUAAUUGAUUGAAAGAUGCUAUUGCAUCACUACCAGAUGGACUUGCGUUGUAUUAGCUAGUAGGUGAGGUAACGGCUCACCUAGGCGACGAUACAUAGCCGACCUGAGAGGGUGAUCGGCCACACUGGGACUGAGACACGGCCCAGACUCCUACGGGAGGCAGCAGUAGGGAAUCUUCGGCAAUGGACGAAAGUCUGACCGAGCAACGCCGCGUGAGUGAAGAAGGUUUUCGGAUCGUAAAGCUCUGUUGUAAGAGAAGAACGGGUGUGAGAGUGGAAAGUUCACACUGUGACGGUAUCUUACCAGAAAGGGACGGCUAACUACGUG